rnacentral:lncRNA from 1 species
GGAGCAGGCAUUGCCACAGCUGUGUCAUAGGUUGCAGCUGAAGCUGUCCUGGGAACUUCCAUAUGUCACAGUGCACUGCCCCCCCCAAAAGAAUGGCCUGAACAAUCACUAUGGUGACAUUAAUUUUUAUCUGCAGCUCUCUGAGCUCGUCUCUGUGCAGCAGAAUUUGAGCAGCUUUAUGAGAAUGCAUUUCCUGUGUCAAAACCAAGAAUAUGAUCAUCUAAAGCAACAGGCAAACCUUCUUUUGUUUCAUCUGCUCCAGCAGCUGCAUCCUGUGUCAGGAACUCCUGGACCACCAUAUGAAUUGCCUCAACGGUUACCAGUGUAGCUGGCAGGGUUGCAGUGGUACUGGCUUCUGGCUUGGUCCCCCAGACUUCCACCAGGAGAGGAGAGGCGUGGAGUGAGAGAGGCAGGCACCAACCACGUGCUGAGAGGAGCCUGUUUAUUCUUUGCCUUCCUCAACUCGCGUGAGUUUCACCUCUGCUCCUUCUAAGAUUUCCCCUUUUUAGCAGGAUACCAGUCAUGUUGGAUUAGGGCCCACUCUAGUGAUCUCUUUUAAACCUGAUUACCUCUGGAAAGACCCUAUCUCCAAAUGAGGACACCCUGUGAGUACUGCAGUCUCCUUUGCAGGCAGAGGUGUCAGAUGACACACGGGCUUAGGAUUUCUUGGAUGUUUUGCUUUUCUGACAGUUUCCUCCUAUUUGCGCCCCCUUGUUCUGCUUCUCUGGAACAUAGUGGUGGUGCUGGAGUUGUACUAGCCUGUGGAUGACCAGGACGCACAGAGAGGAGGACGAUGAUGUGAAGAGACAGAGAGCCACAGGGAGAACACAGAGGCGGAAAUUAGAGACAUGCAGCAGCAAACCAAGGAACACAAGAACUGAUGGCCUCACCAGAAACCAAGAGAAAGUAGGAAGUUGUACCCAGAGUCUCAGAAGGAGUGUGGCCCUGCUGACACCAUGAUUUUGGACUUCUAGCCUCCAGAACUGUGAGCAAAUACAUUUCUGUUAUUUAAGAUGCUAAAUUUGUGGUACUUUGUUACAGCAGCCUCAGGGUACUUAUACCCACCCUAAUGCAUUCACUUUCUCCUCUGGGUCUCCAGACUCUGUUUUGAUGCAAGAGCCUCUUAACCGGUCCCUCAGCUUCCAGUGUUACUUCCUUUCCAUUCCUGCUCCAUGAAACAGCUUGAAUGAGCUUUCUUUGUAUUUUGUAUUAAUUUUUUAAAAAAUUUUGGCCACGCCCAUAGUAUUUAGAACUUCCUGGGCCAGGGAUUGAACCUGAGCCAUGGCAGUGACAAUGCUGAAUCCCUAACUGCUAGGCUGCUAGGGAACUCCUAUUUAUUCACGUACAGUUGAUGUAUAAUUUGUGUUAACUUCUGCUGUACGACACAGUGAUUUGGGUUUAUAAUAUAGAUAUUCUUUUAAAAAAUAUUCUUUUGCAUGAUGGUUUAUCAUAGGAUAUCAUAUAGUGCAGUUCCCCGUGCUAUACAGUAGGACCUUGUUGUUUAUCCAUUCUAUAUAUAAUAACUUACAUCUAACCCCGACCUCCCACUCCAGCCCUCCGCCAGCCCCCUCCUUCUUGACAACCACAAGUCUGUUCUUCAUGUCCACAAAUCUGUGUCUAUAUGAAUGAGCUUGCUAAAGCUCAAAUUACUGUCCUGUUUACACACGUUUCAAUGGCUUCCUGAUAUUCUAAAGAUAAAUUCUGAACUCCUUACCUGAUAGCAAAAGGCCGUAUGUGCCUCUCCAGCAUCAAUUAGUCUCGCGCUUUGCAGCUACUUUCCGUGCCUGCAAUUCCACCAUUGUUCCUACCCUGUUUGACCUCUCGGCUUUCAUUCUCAUUAGAGGUCUUUUCUCCUAAGAAGCCAUCCUCGACUCUCCUGAUAGCGGUAUCACCCUUGCUGCAUGCUCUCUGAAAGUCUGGUUCUCUCUCCAUCAGAGCACAGAUCCCAUUUGUUACACUGCCUGCCUGGUUGUCUGUCUGCCUUCCUAUUCUGUAAGCUCCUGGGAGAGGGACUGUCUCCUCCAGCACGAUAGCAUCAGUGACCAACUGUGACUGCCCCAUUUCAGAUGCUCACUAUAGUGGAUUGAUGGGAACUGCUUUCCCCUGAGCUCCAGAUUUUGCAAGAUUUUAACUACUAAACAAUUUAUUACUUAAGUUAACCUUGUGGGGUUUAUCAGGGGUAUCCAUGCAUGAUUUUCUUUCCUUUCCUGCUUCCUCCCUCCCUCCCUCUCUCUCUUGCUUUCUUUCUGUCUUUCUUCCUGGCCACCCCGUGGCAUACGGAGUUCCCAAGACAGGGAUCAGAUCUGAGCUGCAGUUGUGAGCUGUGUUCCAGAGACACUGCCGAUCCUGUUACACGACGCUCCUUUUUUUAAAAAAAAUUUGAAAAUUGUUUUAAGAACUUCCAAGCUGUUUUCUUUUUGAGGAAUAACCCCGAGCCUAACAAUCCUGGUUUUCAAAUCUAGUCCAUCUCCUUCCAUUUCACAGAUAAGGAAACCGAGGCCCAGAGAGGGCAGAUGACUUGUCUAAGGUUGAAGUGGGUUGGUAAGGUCCCCAGGCUAAAACCCAACUUUUCUGAAUUCCAUCCAGGAUUUUCUCUGCUCUUUCACGAUAGCUAAGCCAGAUGUAUAUUGAUGUAAUGCUUAACAACCAGCUCUCUCGGGGGAGAAAAGAGCAUUGAUUUGUAACAUUUGUCAGUUUCUGUGAUAGGCAGGCUUUCACCUUGGCUAAUUUCAAGCUACCUAUGUGAAGUCACUGACCAUGAGCCUUGGUUCCAAUAGACUCCAAAUUUCAUGCGCUCUGCUUUCUUAAAUGUCUGUAGUGUUGGAGGCUCCAGCCCCAGCCCCCAAAAGUGGCUAUUGCCAGAACAUGCUAAAUUCUGGCAAUGAAAUGAUGUAAAAGGCUAUAAAUAAAAAUAAAAGAUCCCAAAGGAAUGAC